rnacentral:rRNA from 1 species
CGCCUGGGGAGUACGGGUGAGGUAACGGCUCACCAAGGCGACGACGGGUAGCCGGCCUGAGAGGGUGACCGGCCACACUGGGACUGAGACACGGCCCAGACUCCUACGGGAGGCAGCAGUGGGGAAUAUUGCACAAUGGGCGCAAGCCUGAUGCAGCAACGCCGCGUGGGGGACGACGGCCUUCGGGUUGUAAACCUCUUUUAGCAGGGAAGAAGCGAAAGUGACGGUACCUGCAGAAAAAGCACCGGCUAACUACGUGCCAGCAGCCGCGGUAAUACGUAGGGUGCAAGCGUUGUCCGGAAUAAUUGGGCGUAAAGAGCUCGUAGGCGGUUUGUCGCGUCUGCUGUGAAAAUCCGAGGCUCAACCUCGGACCUGCAGUGGGUACGGGCAAACUAGAGUGCGGUAGGGGAGAUUGGAAUUCCUGGUGUAGCGGUGGAAUGCGCAGAUAUCAGGAGGAACACCAAUGGCGAAGGCAGAUCUCUGGGCCGUAACUGACGCUGAGGAGCGAAAGCGUGGGGAGCGAACAGGAUUAGAUACCCUGGUAGUCCACGCCGUAAACGGUGGGAACUAGAUGUGGGGUCCGUUCCACGGAUUCCGUGUCGCAGCUAACGCAUUAAGUUCCCCGCCUGGGGAGUACGG